rnacentral:lncRNA from 1 species
CCAAGUUCUUUAGCUGCAAGCACUGCAAAAUACUCAUAGCUGUCCAACACAGCUCUAUCGUGGCCUUUAACUAAAAGGGACAGUCUCCGGUACAGUACUUCUGGUUCAUCUGAAAUAGACACCAGAGGAUUAGUCUUAGGCUCCUCUGUAUGGACGUGGGAUCCAGAGAACCGUCCUCCCACCAAGUCCAUGUUUGGAAGAAAACACUGCUUUUGCAUAACUCUGCUUGCAUAGCUGACAGGAAAAGACGAUCCCUGGCAAAGCCUCCUCCACAAGCACCACGCCGCCAUCUUGCC